GACGAACGCUGGCGGCGUGCUUAACACAUGCAAGUCGAACGGAAAGGCCCUGCUUUUGUGGGGUGCUUGAGUGGCGAACGGGUGAGUAAAACGUGAGUAACCUGCCCUUGACUUUGGGAUAACUUCAGGAAACUGGGGCUAAUACCGGAUAGGAGCUCCUGAUGCAUGGUGGGGGUUGGAAAGUUUCGGCGGUUGGGGAUGGACUCGCGGCUUAUCAGCUUGUUGGUGGGGUAGUGGCUUACCAAGGCUUUGACGGGUAGCCGGCCUGAGAGGGUGACCGGCCACAUUGGGACUGAGAUACGGCCCAGACUCCUACGGGAGGCAGCAGUGGGGAAUAUUGCACAAUGGGCGGAAGCCUGAUGCAGCAACGCCGCGUGCGGGAUGACGGCCUUCGGGUUGUAAACCGCUUUCGCCUGUGACGAAGCGUGAGUGACGGUAAUGGGUAAAGAAGCACCGGCUAACUACGUG
rnacentral:rRNA from 1 species